rnacentral:lncRNA from 1 species
GGACAGAUCAGAGAAGGUUCUGAAGUGUUACAGGUACCAUAAGACUAGAUACUUUAAAAAGAAUUAUCCGUUGUAGAAGAAAGGAGGAGAAGAGAGGGACUCAAUCAGGUCAGUCGCUGAAAGCGAAGGGACGGAUGAUCUCUUGAUAGUUUCGGAAGAGCCCGCAGGGUGUGGAGGGUUCGUGAUGGCUUUAGAGAGGUC